rnacentral:snRNA from 1 species
AUACUUAACUGGUAAGGGAGAUACCAUGAUUAUGAAGGUGGUUUUCCCAGGGUGAAGCUUAUCCGUUGCACUCCGAAUGUGCUGACCCCUGCAAUUUCCCCAAAUGUAGGAAACUCAACUGCAUAAUUUGUGGUAGUGGGGGGACUACAUUCAUACUCUGCCCUA